ACGGCCAAAAAAAAAGUUAAAAAAGAAAAGUGAAAAGUUUUUUUCGGCCUAAUGACGAAAUAUACUAUUUGAUAUUUCUAUGUGAAGCUAAUAGGUUUCGAGAUAUUUGCGGAGAUAAUCUGUUUGAAGUUUUCAGAAAGGUGAUGAAUCCUGCAAAUUUCAUACAACUGCGACAAUUAUCUUUGAAAGUAAGAUGUCUAGAAACAUUCAUGGAAGACAUCUGUUCCGUUGUGAAUUGACUGGACUCCAAGGAAAAAGGCUUCCCUGACAUUUAUUUUACCAAGUCCGUAGCUUGGGAACUAGUAAGUUAAGAAAUCAAUACCAUAUUCUUCACCACUUGGCUACAAAAUUGUGGAAAUUAUAUGGAAAUUGGUAACUUUACCUUCGAAGGCUCUGGAUUAUCAGGAAAUCGGCGGGCCGCCACCAGAAAUAUAUCGGGUGCUGGUUUACCAUUUUUAACUUCAGCAUCUGAUCCUCCAAGGACCUUGUGAUGAAAUAAUUCAAACAUUGGUUUAACUUUCUUUGUCUUCAACUCAUAACUGGUCUCGCCCGAGCUCGUGGCCAGGGCAAUCGGAAUGUUGUGCUUAUGGAGAUGGCGGAGGAUUCUCUCUGCACCUGUCACCCGUCAGAGUCGAUAAAUAGAGUAUAAAAAUCCAAAAAGGAGUUCAAUGAUGGUGAAAUGACUUCAUAACAGUGAAAAAAUUUUGUAUAUCUUUAGGAGAAUAAAGUUUGAGUUUGUUAAAAGAA